rnacentral:misc_RNA from 1 species
GAAAUGCGAUUAGUAAUGUGAAUUGCAGAAUUCAGUGAAUCAUCGAAUCUUUGAACGCACCUUGCGCUCCUUGGUAUUCCUUGGAGCAUGCCUGUUUGAGUAUCAUGAAAUCUUCAAAGUAAAUCUUUUGUUAACUCAAUUGGUUUCUACUUUGGUAUUGGAGGUCUUUGCAGCUUCACACCUGCUCCUCUUUGUUCAUUAGCUGGAUCUCAGUGUUAUGCUUGGUUCCACUCGGCGUGAUAAGUUAUCUAUCGCUGAGGACACUGUAAAAGGUGGCCAAGGUAAAUGCAGAUGAACCGCUUCUAAUAGUCCAUUGACUUGGACAAUACUUUUAUGAUCUGAUCUCAAAUCAGGUAGGACUACCCGCUGAACUUAAGC